AUGAUUUCCGACAUUGGAGGUAUUGGUCAAAGUGUACUAAAAUUGUUUACUUGUUGUUUUAUUAUAGUGUACUGGGAUGACACAUUGAGAAUAACUGGCCUUAUAAUUAUGUCGGCUGGAAACCUGGAAUCGUCAACUAAAGAUUAA